rnacentral:rRNA from 1 species
CCCUUAGACGUUCUGGGCCGCACGCGCGCUACACUGACCAGUGCAACAAGCAUCCGUCCUUGGCCGACAGGCCCGGGCAAUCUUUGAACGCUGGUCGUGAUGGGGAUAGACUUUUGCAAUUUUUGGUCUUCAACGAGGAAUUCCUAGUAAACGCAAGUCAUCAACUUGCAUUGAUUACGUCCCUGCCCUUUGUACACACCGCCCGUCGCACCUACCGAUUGAAUGGUCCGGUGAAGCCUCAGGAUUGGCGCGCACCUCGGUGCCGCCGAGAAGUUGGCUAAACCUUACCAUUUAGAGGAAGGUGAAGUCGUAACA